ensembl:processed_transcript Gm15927 predicted gene 15927
GUCUAGGCUGUUAUCUGAUCCUCGUAGUCAUUCCCCAAGCGCGUCUGCUUGGUAUAUCUCUAAAACUCAGUGCUUUCUAAAGGAUGAAAGAAGGAAUCAGGAACAUUGCAGAAGCGACUGAGAAACACAAGGCGUGGAACUGACGUCUCUCUGGUUAAGUUAGCGGACUAGGACCUCUCCUGUAGUUGCAAGGACUCCAGCUGUAGAGGAAACUGCGCUUUGCCCUACGUCGGUCACAUCUGUAAUGACUACUCAACUAGAGUUCUGCUAUGCUUCUUAAGGAGUAAACUUCCCCGACCACCCUUGCCGAGUGCUUAGUACCCAUGAAGCACUCCAUAGCCUUUUGCUGACUUAGGUUGCAAAGGUGAGCACCACGUUUUCAUGAAUUGGG